rnacentral:rRNA from 1 species
UACGUAGGGUGCGAGCGUUGUCCGGAAUUAUUGGGCGUAAAGAGCUUGUAGGCGGUUUGUCGCGUCUGCUGUGAAAAUCCGGGGCUCAACCCGGACUUGCAGUGGGUACGGGCAGACUAGAGUGUGGUAGGGGAGACUGGAAUUCCUGGUGUAGCGGUGAAAUGCGCAGAUAUCAGGAGGAACACCGAUGGCGAAGGCAGGUCUCUGGGCCACUACUGACGCUGAGAAGCGGAAAGCAUGGGGAGCAAACAGG